UGAUACUAGGGUCAAAAGCUCCAAAAGCCGAUCGUGCUUGCACGAAGAGGAUUUUGAGCUUGGGACCCGCCAAAACAUGAGGAUGCAGCGAUUUUCGAAGAAAAUCAGCGAAUCCGAAUGUUUUUAGAAUUGUGAAAGAUGCGAAGCAGCGGAGCAAUUCGUAAGUAUCA
rfam:Clostridiales bacterium KLE1615 genomic scaffold Scaffold912, whole genome shotgun sequence.